AUCCAGCGUCACUGCGAGUCUUUCACUUUCAUUUUGGACAUCGCCACGAGUGGUUUGAAGGCGUUAAAGUAAAUCGGCUUUUCGAAACGUGCUUUGGAACGCGUUGACGAACUUUGGUUUCGAUUUCUUUGCGAUUUUUCUAGAAAACAUGCAUAGAUUUGAACUUCCUUACUUUGGUCAAAGUUCGUAUGCUGUUAAUGAUAUAGAAAGGAACGAUGAUAAUGGUUAAUAACCAUCGAGAUCCUGAUUCCGAUAUUGAUCCACACUAACCGUUACAAAAUCUGUAAAUACGAGUUUGAAGCAGGAUGCAGCUGAAAAGUGCGCAAUGUGAAUCUGGUGGGCUUGUAACAAAUUCUUCGUGCGAUCGUAUAUGAAAGAAUUCUCUGAAUAGGGUAAAACAACCUUGGAAUUGCAGGCACUUUCUGUUUACGCUCGAGAAUAUGUUACAGGCGUGUUGUAACGUUCCAGAUUAACCUCAAGAUUUGGAAUAUUAACUGUUCGAAGGAAACUACCAGCAAUAAAGUAAAACACAAUGUAACCAUUUAGGAAAAGUCAGUUUUAUUUGGUGAAAGAUUGAUUGUACAUUUAAACGGUACUAUAAAAUGUAAUAAACUCUACUGGACUACACUGUCGAGUUAUUAAAAAGUAAAGCUUUACAAAGAAUGGCACGGAUGCGGUAAGUUUAGGCCAAUAUUAGAAAAAGUGUACGUGUGAAGAAGAAUAAAAUUAUAAGGAAAAAAAGGA